rnacentral:rRNA from 1 species
AUUGAACGCUGGCGGCAUGCCUUACACAUGCAAGUCGAACGGCAGCACGGGAGCAAUCCUGGUGGCGAGUGGCGAACGGGUGAGUAAUAUAUCGGAACGUGCCCAGUCGUGGGGAUAACGUAGCGAAAGCUACGCUAAUACCGCAUACGAUCUAUGGAUGAAAGCGGGGGAUCGCAAGACCUCGCGCGAUUGGAGCGGCCGAUAUCAGAUUAGGUAGUUGGUGAGGUAAAGGCUCACCAAGCCGACGAUCUGUAGCUGGUCUGAGAGGACGACCAGCCACACUGGGACUGAGACACGGCCCAGACUCCUACGGGAGGCAGCAGUGGGGAAUUUUGGACAAUGGGCGCAAGCCUGAUCCAGCAAUGCCGCGUGCAGGAUGAAGGCCUUCGGUUGUAACUGCUUUGUACGGAACGAAACGGUGA